UAGAAAACGAACUUGCAACUUUUCGUCUAAGGUUAAAUCCUCUGGUGUGUCUGGUCUGAUUUUUUGCAGAUAAAGAAGAACAACGUCUUAUACUCCUGUUGUAAGUGGUGGUUCCAGAUUCCUCGUGGUCUUAACUAAAUCACUGUGAGUUGAAGGUUUGGAUGUAAAAGCUUGAACAAGGAAAAUAAGGUCGACGUAAUUGAUGUAAGCAUUAUACAACUUAUGAUGUUGACAACUGGAAGAUGUUUAUCGUAACUUUUGAUGCUAAGUGUUAUGUACUCCUACAGUUAAUAAAGUUAAUGGGAAGCCCAACUGUGCAGAUGCAGAUCUCUUUUCUGGAGUCAUUAUAGGGUAUUGGAAACGUAAUGG